rnacentral:rRNA from 1 species
UUGUCUUUUAAAUAAAGACCAGUAUGAAUGGCAAGACGAAAGUUCAACUGUCUCCCUAAAUUAAUCAGUGAAAUUGAUUUUCCCGUGCAGAAGCGGGAAUAAAAUUAUAAGACGAGAAGACCCUAUGGAGCUUUAAAUAUAUGAUCAAUUGUAUAAUAUAAACCCCGAAAGAUAACAUAUUAAAUGAAACAUCGUGAUCAAAAUUUUAGGUUGGGGCGACCACGGAGAAAAGAAAAACCUCCGAGAUGAAAAGAUAUCUUAAUUUAUGAAUUACAAUUCUAAAAAAUAAAAUAUUUAACAUAAUUGAUCCAAUAGCUUGAUCAACGAACUAAGUUACCCUAGGGAUAACAGCGCAAUCCUUUCCAAGAGUCCUUAUCGACGAAUGGGUUUACGACCUCGAUGUUGGAUCAGGACACCCCAAUGGUGUAGUCGCUAUUAAAGGUUCGUUUGUUCAACGAUUAAAGUCCUA